AUUGAACGCUGGCGGUUUGCUUAACACAUGCAAGUCGAACGGUAACAGGCCUUCGGGCGCUGACGAGUGGCGGACGGGUGAGUAACGCGUAGGAAUCUGCCUCAUAGUGGGGGACAACGUGUGGAAACGCACGCUAAUACCGCAUACGCCCUACGGGGGAAAGCGGGGGACCUUCGGGCCUCGCGCUGUGAGAUGAGCCUGCGUUAGAUUAGCUAGUUGGUAGGGUAAAGGCCUACCAAGGCGACGAUCUAUAGCUGGUCUGAGAGGACGAUCAGCCACACUGGGACUGAGACACGGCCCAGACUCCUACGGGAGGCAGCAGUGGGGAAUAUUGGACAAUGGGCGCAAGCCUGAUCCAGCAAUACCGCGUGUGUGAAGAAGGCCCUAGGGUUGUGAAGCACUUUCAAUAGGGAGGAAAACCUGUCGGUCAAUACCCGGCAGCUUGACAUUACCUAUACAAGAAGCACCGGCUAACUCCGUGCCAGCAGCCGCGGUAACAC
rnacentral:rRNA from 1 species